AUUGAACGCUGGCGGCAGGCCUAACACAUGCAAGUCGAACGGUAACAGGAAGACGCUUGCUUCUUUGCUGACGAGUGGCGGACGGGUGAGUAAUGUCUGGGAAACUGCCUGAUGGAGGGGGAUAACUACUGGAAACGGUAGCUAAUACCGCAUAACGUCGCAAGACCAAAGAGGGGGACCUUCGGGCCUCUUGCCAUCGGAUGUGCCCAGAUGGGAUUAGCUAGUAGGUGGGGUAACGGCUCACCUAGGCGACGAUCCCUAGCUGGUCUGAGAGGAUGACCAGCCACACUGGAACUGAGACACGGUCCAGACUCCUACGGGAGGCAGCAGUGGGGAAUAUUGCACAAUGGGCGCAAGCCUGAUGCAGCCAUGCCGCGUGUAUGAAGAAGGCCUUCGGGUUGUAAAGUACUUUCAGCGGGGAGGAAGGGAGUAAAGUUAAUACCUUUGCUCAUUGACGGUACCCGCAGAAGAAGCACCGGCUAACUCCGUG
rnacentral:rRNA from 1 species